UUUUUUUUAACGAGAAAAAUUUCAAAUUAUAGCAGAAUCAGAAUAAAAAAAAACGAAAAUAGAAGUAGGAAGGACAAAGAGAAACAGAGAUUGAGAUCCCGUGAGUAAAAGAACUGAAUAUGACAAAUUAUUCCCAAAUCCAAUUUACAACAAGAAAAGAAGAAAAAGAAAAAAGGAGAUGAAGAAAUUAAAAGAGAAAAGAAGAUGAUAAAGUUGUUUUGGUUCUCUCUUACAUCUCUUUAGCACACAGUAAUAACAAGAAAAAAUAACAAAAGAAUGAAGAAGUUGAAAGAAGGCUGUGUCACAUGCCAUGAGAAAGGAGAAAAAACAAUGAAUACGGCUGUUGUUGAGUACUAGGAAAAACAACAAAAAGAAACAUAAUAAAAUUAGGGUUACUUUACUUUUAAAUGGGCUUGCCCAAUAACAUUUAUAUGUAGUAUACAUUU
rnacentral:lncRNA from 1 species